rnacentral:lncRNA from 1 species
GCGCGCUCUUAAAGGUGGUUGAGCGUGCACUUGUCCCUGCACUUGUGUGUAUAUUAUUGUGUGCUUUUUUCAAUCAUCAUCUUGAAUCAACUGUAAGCGCAGAUGUGCUGUGACCUGACUAAGAUCAGAUAAAGUGCCCCCCCCCCUCCUACCCUCCUCCCCCCAGCUCCAUUUGUCAUGGGCCAGCUGUCGGGCUGCUGUGAUUGGUUGUUGUGGGAGACAGAUAGCCGAUAGGCUCUGAUUAACAGUAGUGGCUCUGGAACUUACUCAUUGAUCAAGAAGACAGGGGAGGAGGAGGGAGAGGACAGGAGAGGAGGAGGGAGAGGACAGGAGAGGAGGAGGGAGAGGACAGGAGAGGAGGUGGGAGAGAACAGGAGAGGAGGAGGGAGAGAACAGGAGAGGAGGAGGGAGAGGACAGGAGAGGAGGAGGGAGAGGACAGGAGAGGAGGAGGGAGAGAACAGGAGAGGAGGAGGGAGAGAACAGGAGAGAACAGGAAAGGACAGGAGAGGAGGAGGGAGAGAACAGGAGAGGAGGAGGGAGAGAACAGGAGAGGAGGAGGGAGAGGACAGGAGAGGAGGAGGGAGAGGACAGGAGAGGAGGAGGGAGAGAAGAGGAGAGGAGGGAGGGAGAGGACAGGAGAGGAGGAGGGAGAGGACAGGAGAGGAGGAGGGAGAGAACAGGAGAGGAGGGAGGGAGGGAGAGGACAGGAGAGGAGGGAGGGAGAGGACAGGAGAGGAGGAGGGAGAGGACAGGAGAGGAGGAGGGAGAGGACAGGAGAGAACAGGAAAGGACAGGAGAGGAGGAGGGAGAGAACAGGAGAGGAGGGAGGGAGAGGACAGGAGAGGGGGAGGGAGAGGGGAGAGGACAGGAGAGGAGGAGGGAGAGGACAGGAGAGGAGGAGGGAGAGGACAGGAGAGGAAGGAGGGAGAGGAC